rnacentral:misc_RNA from 1 species
GAAAUGCGAUAAGUAAUGUGAAUUGCAGAAUUCAGUGAAUCAUCGAAUCUUUGAACGCACCUUGCGCUCCUUGGUAUUCCUUGGAGCAUGCCUGUUUGAGUAUCAUGAAAUCUUCAAAGUAAAUCUUUUGUUAACUCAAUUGGUUUCUACUUUGGUAUUGGAGGUCUUUGCAGCUUCACACCUGCUCCUCUUUAUUCAUUAGCUGGAUCUCAGUGUUAUGCUUGGUUCCACUCGGCGUGAUAAGUUAUCUAUCGCUGAGGACACUGUAAAAGGUGGCCAAGGUAAAUGCAGAUGAACCGCUUCUAAUAGUCCAUUGACUUGGACAAUACUUUUAUGAUCUGAUCUCAAAUCAGGUAGGACUACCCGCUGAACUUAAGC